AGUCAUAUGCAUUUUCGAUAAGUUGGGAUUUUUUUAAAGGAGUAUUUGAAGGAUUGCACUUUCUUUCGAGAUCUAUACAAUGGGUUAUGGAAUAUGUUACCUCUCCAACAUAUUUCGUAAUUUUGACUGGGAGACUAGGAGUAUACAUGGCUUCUUCAAAGGUGGGAAAUGUCUCCGGCGAGGUGAUCUGCUAUCUCUCUUUUUGUUUGUGCUUUGUCUUGAAUAUUUUUCUAAAAUGGUUAAGGUGGCCACAAAUGAUAGUGAAUUCAAUUAUCACCCUAAAUGUGGCCCCCUAAAGAUAACUCAUUUAACUUUUACGGAUGACUUGAUACUUUUUGCAAGGGGAGAUGUUAUGUCAGUGCAAUUUCUUAUGGAUUGUCUUUCCAACUUUGAUUUUGCAUCGGGUUUGAGGAUGAAUAUUUUAAAACCCAGCUUGUAUAUAGUUUGUGUUUAUGGGAAAGAGCUUGAUGAUAUCAUUGAACUCACAAAUUUCCUGAAGGGUACUAUGUCUUUCCGUUACUUAGAAAUUUCUAUGGGGCUCCAAAAAACCUUUGGUAGCUUGGAAGGACAUUUGCUUACUGAAAAAUGAAGGGGUCUCGGGUUAAAAGACAUGAAGAGUUAGAACUCGGCUUUGCUUGCUAAAUCUCUUUGGAAUAUUCAUCGGAAAAAGGAUACCCUUUAGAUAGGUUGGAUUUCCGCAAGGGGACUGCCUAUGCAAUCAGGCCAGUAGGAGGCGAGAAGUAACCUGGAUUAUCCAGGCCAGUUAGCCCCAAAUUAGGAUCAUGGGGCUGUUCAAGUAGACGCAAGACUGCAAACGAACAGAAAUCUCAACUGAACAAUUUUGGACAGAUUAACUGCUUGGUCUUCCGGUGGAAAAUUUUGCACAAGUAUGGCUUAUGAUUUUUUCCGGCCUAAAAGAACGAAGAAAAUCUGGCCAGCGGCAGUUUGGAGCCCUUGCAUUACACUGAAGCACUCCUUUUGCUUUGGUUAGGAGUUGAAUCUAAACUCGUUACUAUAGAAAAAUUGCAAUACCUGGACAUCGAUCGAAAUUGUGUUCUUGGCGGAGAUAUGGCAGAAACAGUGCAGCACCUUUCCUUUCAAUGUACAUUCACAUCUACCUUAUGGGGAAAGGUCAAAUAGUGGAUUGACAUUAGAAGAUCUAUAUCAACACUUGCUAGCACAUUGAAGUGGAUUAAAAAAAAGGCUCAUGGGACAUCGUGGCUAAGCAAGGCUAAUUGGAUUGCACUUGCAACUACCGUCUACUACAAGUUAGCUCAGAAUAGGAAGAUUUUUAAAGACCUUACACCACGAUUGGAUUGUAUUGUGAGACGAAUCAAAAUACACGUAUACGAAGUUAUAUUCUCUUUGUAUCCGGAUGUCUUAAUUCAUUUCGAAUCCUUAGUGUUAGAUCAUUGAUUUUUAUUAUACUUCCUAUAUUUUUGUUUCACCCAGGUAUGCUCAAAGUAAUUGUAUGCGACAUUGGCUUUGUUUUGUCCAGGUAUGCUUAGUGUACUUGUACAUGA